rnacentral:rRNA from 1 species
UGGGGAAUUUUGGACAAUGGGGGAAACCCUGAUCCAGCCAUCCCGCGUGUGCGAUGAAGGCCUUCGGGUUGUAAAGCACUUUUGGCAGGAAAGAAACGUCGCGGGUUAAUACCCCGCGAAACUGACGGUACCUGCAGAAUAAGCACCGGCUAACUACGUGCCAGCAGCCGCGGUAAUACGUAGGGUGCAAGCGUUAAUCGGAAUUACUGGGCGUAAAGCGUGCGCAGGCGGUUCGGAAAGAAAGAUGUGAAUCCCAGAGCUUAACUUUGGAACUGCAUUUUUAACUACCGGGCUAGAGUGUGUCAGAGGGAGGUGGAAUUCCGCGUGUAGCAGUGAAAUGCGUAGAUAUGCGGAGGAACACCGAUGGCGAAGGCAGCCUCCUGGGAUAACACUGACGCUCAUGCACGAAAGCGUGGGGAGCAAACAGGAUUAGAUACCCUGGUAGUCCACGCCCUAAACGAUGUCAACUAGCUGUUGGGGCCUUCGGGCCUUGGUAGCGCAGCUAACGCGUGAAGUUGACCGCCUGGGGAGUACGGUCGCAAGAUUAAAACUCAAAUGAAUUGACGGGGUCAUAGCUG